CAGGACGCAAUUGUCCUGUCACCAUCGAGGAUGGACGUCGCAGAACAUUCUGGAGUCUCCAUGUUAGCUCGUUGGUAAAAUUAAUAAUAAAAAUAUUGGAAAAGGAAGUUAUCAGGAAAGUGGAUGAAGGCAAGGCAGUAGAUGUUGACCACGUGGACUUCAGCAAGGCAUUUGACAAGGUCCCGCAAGGAAGGUUGAUCAAGAGGUUCUGUCACUGGGCAAUCAAGAUAAGAGGGGAGAGUGAAGAAUUUUUCGAAGUGCAGGAUCGAGGGAUCGAGAGGAGCCAGCAUCGUUUGGCAGUUUAAUAAAGGAUCGACCUUAUUGAGUCUUCGUUGGAGGAGUAGCUACCUGCAUCGAGGAUAACUCUUGCCAAACAGAGCAAGGAGUUCAUGCAAAAAGAUACCAUAUUACUUGGACUGGAAAUUUUUGCUAAAUGAAUUACUCAAUUCCAACAUUAGAAGGGAGAGUGAAGAAUUUAUCGAAGUGCAGGAUCGAGGGAUCAAGAGGAGUUGGCAUCGUUUGACAGUUUA